rnacentral:lncRNA from 1 species
CGGAGCCCUCUGGGAUUCCGUACCUGGGCGCCACGCCGGCCCUCCCUAACGUGCGCAGGUGAAGGGGGGAGGAUGCCCGGUGGAUUGUUCACCAAACUCUUUCCAGCAGCCUGUUGCAAUCAUCUAGGUAGAAGUAUAAUAAUCACAAAGUACUAUUCAUGGAGUGAAAGGCUGGAAAUACUAGUGACGCACCUCACUUCCGGGCCCAGGCUUCCAAGUCUCCCGCCUCACCUCCCGCCGGCAUCCCUCGAGAAUGGAACAGGCCAUUCGCCAAGGAGGCGGUGAGCGAGAGAGCAACCUUGCGCAUGCGCAGGACUCGCAGCGUCCUCGGCGCCCGGGGACUUGGGGGUUUUGGGGUUGGGGGCUGCUUAGUGAACGCUGUUCAGAGAAGGCACUGAUCUAAGCUGAGGUGUUGUCUCAGACCCUACCGCCGAAUUCUAGACGGAAAAAAUUGUUGAAACAACUGGUCCAGCCUCUUGCAUGUCACAAUUAUGACUUGUCAGACGAGCCUCACUCUGUUGUCCAGGCUGAAGUGUAAUGGUGCAGUCUCGGCUCACUGCAACCUCUGCCUCCCCGGUUCAAGCGAUUCUCCUGCCUCAGCCUCCCUGAGUAGCUUCGACUAGAGGCGUGCGCCAUCGCACACACUGUAUUUUUAGUAGAGACAGGGUUUUACCAUGUUGGCCAGGCUGGUCUCAAACUCCCAACCUCAAGUGAUCCUCCUGCCUCGGCCUCCCAAAGUGUUUAGAUUUCAGGCCUGAGCCACCGAGCCUGGCCUCAAACACUUCUCUUUUUUUCUUUUUUUUGAGAUGGAGUCUCGUUCUGUCGCCAGGCUGGAGUGCAGUGGCACCAUCUCUGCUCACUGCAAGCUCCGCCUCCCGGGUUCAAGCAAUUCUCCUGCCUCAGCCUCCUGAGUAGCUGGGAUUACAGGUGCGUGCCACCAAGCCUGGCUAAUUUUUGUGUUUUUAGUAGAGACGGGGUUUCACUAGUUGGACAGGCUAGUCUCCAACUCCUGACCUCAGGUGAUCCACCCACCUUGGCCUCCCAAAGUGCUGGGAUUACAGGCGUGAGACACCAGGCCCAGCCUCAACUGUAGACUUUUAACUCAAAGGUACAAAAAUUGGAUUAUGUCUGGGCCAGUUUUUUCCCUUGUCGAUAGUAUAGC